AUGUUCCUCGGGCUCAAUUAUAAGAUCAUCCAACCAAUCAUCGAUCAUAUCACCGGCGAUGAUUACCGUGCUAUGCAACUUCCAUUCGCCAGGAGGAACUGUGUUUACACAUCAUACCAUGGGUUUCAUGAAUCAUCAUAUCCAGAGAUUCGUCGACACAGCUUGUUGCUAGAUAAUCUUCAGUGUGUGAAAGGCAGCAAGCUUCCAUGCGAUGGAUGGCCUUUGCAAACCCGACAUGCGGCGAUGUGGGGUUUUAAAUACCAUAUAACUGGAAUUAACCGAUGCAAGUCCAAGAAGGAUUGGCCGGUGCUGACGGCUAGCGUCAAGUUCGAUCCCAUGGAUCAGGAGCUGAUAGAGCACCUUGAGGCCAAAGUGAGUGCUAACAGCGCGAGAUCUCACCCUCUCAUUGAUUUGUUCAUACCAACCAUCGACAGCGAGCACGACAUAUGCUACACCCAUCCUAAGAAACUUCCAGAGUGCGGCCUGCACACGAUGUGGCACAAGACCGGCAAUACCUUGUCGGUAAUGGUCAACGGCCGGCAGACGGGCAGCAAAAAGGUUCUAGUGCUGCACACCAACAAGAACUUUGACCAGCAAAGGACCAACUGGAUGAUGCACCAGUACCACCUCGGGGACCUGAAGCAAGAGAAGGAGCAGGAGCUGGUUCUCUGCAAUAUUUGCUACCAGACGAACACUAGGGCCAGGACUAAAAAGAUUAUAACUUAG
rnacentral:rRNA from 1 species